UAACACAUGCAAGUCGAGGGGUAACAGGAGUAGCAAUACUCGCUGACGACCGGCGCACGGGUGAGUAACGCGUAUGCAACCUACCUUUAACUGGGGCAUAGCUCCGAGAAAUCGGGAUUAAUACCCCAUAAUGUUACAAUUUCGCAUGUUAUUGUAACUAAAACUCCGUGUGGUUAAAGAUGGGCAUGCGUGUCAUUAGCUUGUUGGUGAGGUAACGGCUCACCAAGGCUACGAUGACUAGGGGGUCUGAGAGGAUGAUCCCCCACACUGGUACUGAGACACGGACCAGACUCCUACGGGAGGCAGCAGUGAGGAAUAUUGGUCAAUGGGCGAAAGCCUGAACCAGCCAUGCCGCGUGCAGGAUGACAGCCCUAUGGGUCGUAAACUGCUUUUAUACGGGAAGAAACCCCUGAUCGUGAUCGGGGCUGACGGUACCGUAAGAAUAAGGAUCGGCUAACUCCGUGCCAGCAGCCGCGGUAAUACGGAGGAUCCUAGCGUUAUCCGGAUUUAUUGGGUUUAAAGGGUGCGUAGGCGGAAUAAUAAGUCAGUGGUGAAAUCCUGCAGCUUAACUGUAGAAUUGCCAUUGAUACUGUUAUUCUUGAAUGCAGUUGAGGUAGGCGGAAUGUGUAAUGUAGCGGUGAAAUGCUUAGAUAUUACCCAGAACACCGAUUGCGUAGGCAGCUUGCUAAACUGUGAUUGACGCUGAGGCACGAAAGCGUGGGUAGCAAACAGGAUUAGAUACCCUGGUAGUCCACGCCGUAAACGAUGAUUACUCGAUGUGUGCAAUAUAUCGUACGCGUCUGAGCGAAAGCACUAAGUAAUCCACCUGGGGAGUACGGCCGCAAGGUUGAAACUCAAAGGAAUUGACGGGGGCCCGCACAAGCGGAGGAACAUGUGGUUUAAUUCGAUGAUACGCGAGGAACCUUACCUGGGCUUAAAUGUAUUCUGACGUUCCGGGAAACUGGAAUUCCCUUCGGGGCAGAUUACAAGGUGCUGCAUGGUUGUCGUCAGCUCGUGCCGUGAGGUGUCGGGUUAAGUCCCAUAACGAGCGCAACCCCUAUUGUUAGUUGCCAGCGGAUAAUGCCGGGGACUCUAACGAAACUGCCAGUGUAAACUGUGAGGAAGGUGGGGAUGACGUCAAAUCAGCACGGCCCUACGUCCAGGGCUACACACGUGUUACAAUGGUCGGUACAAAGGCAGUACCACGCGAGUGGAUGCUAAUCUCCAAAACCGAUCUUAGUUCGGAUUGAAGUCUGCAACUGACUUCAUGAAGCUGGAUUCGUAGUAAUCGCACAUCAGCCAUGGUGCGGUGAUACGUUCCCGGCAUUGUACACACCGCCCGUCAAGCCAUGGAAGCCGGGGGUACAUGAAGUCCGAACCGCAAGGAGCGGCAUAGGGUAAACUGUAACUGGGGCUAAGU
rnacentral:rRNA from 1 species